AACGCACAUUGCGCCCUGUGGUAUUCCGCAGGGCAUGCCUGUUCGAGCGUCAUUUCAACCCUCAAGCCUCGCUUGGUGUUGGGCCCCGCCCGCUGCGGCCGGCCCCAAAGUCAGUGGCGGCACCGUACGGUCCUAAGCGUAGUAACACCCUCGCUCUAGGGCCCUGCGGCCGCGCGCCAGAACCCCAACUCCUAUGGUUGACCUCGGAUCAGGUAGGGAUACCCGCUGAACUUAA
rnacentral:misc_RNA from 1 species